UAACCGUUCCAGUUCUUACAACCAAACUAUCAACUACUUCGGAGUCGAAUCCUACAACUGGAUUUUCUCAAGGCAACAAACACUUUUCUCACCAUGAACAACCACAAAAACAUGUUUCAAAAUCAACUAAAAGCACAAAACAACACACGACAUUAGAGCCAACGCACAGGCAUACCUAAAAAGAAAGAAAAUUGUGCACACAAAAUCUGAAGUGCUGAAAGACAAUCCAAUAAUGACGGAGUCUAUCUUAUUAAUUGUAUAACU
rnacentral:lncRNA from 1 species